rnacentral:lncRNA from 1 species
AGCACAAGACAAUCAAAGAUCCAAUCAAGUUAUCUAUGUGCCUUGUCUAGUGAUGCAGCAAGUUCAGUGCAGCCACCUCAAAUAGAUGCAUCAUCGCCGAAUUAUAUGAAGACCACCACUUCAUCUGAUGCAAAGAAGGAGAGUUUGCAGGUAAGAUAUCAAAAUUAGGAAUCCACUUUUUGUAAUUGUAGCAAUAAGAAUCUUUUAGAGAAAAGGUUUUAAACCAAAUAUUGGCUUUCCUCACAGAAAUCAGUAAGAGCUUUGUCUAGGCGAUCCAGUUUUAAGCCCUCAAAGAGUUUGACAAGAGUGUCUAGUACAAAAUUCAGGAGAUCUUUGAUGAGGAAGUCGUCUGGAGGGUCCGACGUAAAAAAGAAACUGAAGAAGUCAAGAUCAAUCAAACUUGGAAGGCGUUCUUCCGUUGUUUUACCUGAUGAUUCAGAUGCAUCGCCUAAUCAUUUGAAAUCAACUGAAUGUUCUGAUGUAGAGAAUACUUGUUUUCAGGCAAGUUUCCAUAAUUCUGAAUCUUGUUUGAGUAGCAAUG